rnacentral:rRNA from 1 species
GAUGAACGCUGGCGGCGUGCCUAAUACAUGCAAGUCGAGCGAACGUCAUAGAAGCUUGCUUCUAUGACGUUAGCGGCGGACGGGUGAGUAACACGUGGGCAACCUGCCUGUAAGACUGGGAUAACUUCGGGAAACCGAAGCUAAUACCGGAUAGGAUCUUCUCCUUCAUGGGAGAUGAUUGAAAGAUGGUUUCGGCUAUCACUUACAGAUGGGCCCGCGGUGCAUUAGCUAGUUGGUGAGGUAACGGCUCACCAAGGCAACGAUGCAUAGCCGACCGGAGAGGGUGAGCGGCCGCACUGGGACUGAGACACGGCCCAGACUCCUAGGGGAGGCAGCAGUAGGGAAUCUUCCGCAAUGGACGAAAGUCUGACGGAGCAACGCCGCGUGAGUGAUGAAGGCUUUCGGGUCGUAAAACUCUGUUGUUAGGGAAGAACAAGUACGAGAGUAACUGCUCGUACCUUGACGGCACCUAACCAGAAAGCCACGGCUAACUACGUGCCAGCAGCCGCGGUAA